rnacentral:rRNA from 1 species
UUGAACGCUGGCGGCAGGCCUAACACCUGCAAGUCGAACGGUAACAGGAAGCAGCUUGCUGCUUCGCUGACGAGUGGCGGACGGGUGAGUAAUGUCUGGGAAACUGCCUGAUGGAGGGGGAUAACUACUGGAAACGGUAGCUAAUACCGCAUAACGUCGCAAGACCAAAGAGGGGGACCUUAGGGCCUCUUGCCAUCGGAUGUGCCCAGAUGGGAUUAGCUAGUAGGUGGGGUAACGGCUCACCUAGGCGACGAUCCCUAGCUGGUCUGAGAGGAUGACCAGCCACACUGGAACUGAGACACGGUCCAGACUCCUACGGGAGGCAGCAGUGGGGAAUAUUGCACAAUGGGCGCAAGCCUGAUGCAGCCACGCCGCGUGUAUGAAGAAGGCCUUCGGGUUGUAAAGUACUUUCAGCGGGGAGGAAGGGAGUAAAGUUAAUACCUUUGCUCAUUGACGUUACCCGCAGAAGAAGCACCGGCUAACUCCGUG